rnacentral:rRNA from 1 species
UUAGAGUUUGAUCCUGGCUCAGGAUGAACGCUGGCGGCGUGCUUAACACAUGCAAGUCGAACGAUGACUUCUGUGCUUGCACAGAAUGAUUAGUGGCGAACGGGUGAGUAACACGUGAGUAACCUGCCCUUAACUUCGGGAUAAGCCUGGGAAACCGGGUCUAAUACCGGAUACGACCUCCUGGCGCAUGCCAUGGUGGUGGAAAGCUUUAGCGGUUUUGGAUGGACUCGCGGCCUAUCAGCUUGUUGGUUGGGGUAAUGGCCCACCAAGGCGACGACGGGUAGCCGGCCUGAGAGGGUGACCGGCCACACUGGGACUGAGACACGGCCCAGACUCCUACGGGAGGCAGCAGUGGGGAAUAUUGCACAAUGGGCGAAAGCCUGAUGCAGCGACGCCGCGUGAGGGAUGACGGCCUUCGGGUUGUAAACCUCUUUCAGCAGGGAAGAAGCGAAAGUGACG